rnacentral:rRNA from 1 species
GACGAACGCUGGCGGCGUGCUUAACACAUGCAAGUCGAACGGAAAGGCCCUGCUUUUGUGUGGUGCUCGAGUGGCGAACGGGUGAGUAACACGUGAGUAACCUGCCCUUGACUUUGUGAUAACUUCAGGAAACUGGUGCUAAUACCUGCUAGGAGCUCCUGCUGCAUGGUGGGGGUUGGAACGUUUCGGCGGUUGGGGAUGUACUCGCGGCUUAUCCGCUUGUUGGUGGGGUAGUGGCUUACCAAGGCUUUGACGGGUAGCCGGCCUGAGAGGGUGACCGGCGACAUUGGGACUGAGAUACGGCCCAGACUGCUACGGGAGGCAGCAGUGGGGAAUAUUGCACAAUGGGCGGAAGCGUGAUGCAGAAACGCCGCGUGCGGGAUGACGGCCUUCGGGUUGUAAACCGCUUUCGCCUGUGACGAAGCGUGAGUGACGGUAAUGGGUAAAGAAGCACCGGCUAACUACGUG